GGCUUGUUAGUCUAGGGGUAUGAUUCUUGCUUAGGGUGCUAGAUGUCCCAGGUUCAAAUACCGGAGGAGUCC